rnacentral:lncRNA from 10 species
AGGAGCCUGUCUGCCUCCUGCUGCCAUCAACCUACCCUCCAUGGUGCCCAUAUUUCCCAGGCUGUUCCCGCUGAGGGGUGCCUGCAGGCCCAUGCUGAGCUGCCCUCAGCCCCCACCUCAGCUCCCUCUCAUGCUCAUUGGUGUCCCAAAUCCUAGAACGGGCCAAGGCGGCAGGGGGACUGGUGUGUCAGCGCUGGCUCGAGUGCGUGCACACCCAGUAGGAUCGUGACAGCACUCGGGCUCAGCCUCAACUUUGCUCCAAAAUCGGAGUGGGCACCGGGAGCCGGGAGAGGCCAGGCAGUAGGAGCAGGCACUUCAGAGCCUGCAGGGGAAGGGGGCUUCCCGGGCCCCCUAGCGCAGGCAUGUCCAGGUCUGUAGCUGAGACUAGUUGGCUGCAGCUGGGAGGGCUGGCCUCCCGACCCUCCAAUUCAGAAAAGGGCGGGGAUCCCUCCUGUUCCUGGCUCCAGGUGGCUCUGUGGAGCCCCUGCGCGCCUCCCCCACUGCAACCUGCGUCAUGGCAGCAGCUGCUCUAGAUAGGCCACAGCUGCCAUCAAAAGCAUAGCGCUUUCUCUGGCUGGUAGCGAAGGAAAAAGAGAUUAAAAGCACGAGAAAGACUCAACCCACUGACCCACCGUUGCUGGCUUGAUGGUAAAGAGGACAAUGUGGGGAAAGCAUUCGAAGAAAAUCACUUCUGCCAACAAUCAGUGAGUUUGGAGGUGGACCCCGAGACUUAGCUGACAGCCCCAGCAGAUAUAAUACGCUGAUUCAAGUUUAAUGAGACCCUGAGAAGAGAAUCCAGUCAAGGUGCUUUAGACUUCAGACUUUCAGAAGUUCAGACCUUCAGAACUGUGAGAUUAUAAACAGGUGCUGCAAAGGGAAAUUAUGUCUAGCAUAAGACACAAUCUCUGACAUUGAAGAACUUACAAUUGAAUUGAGGAAAUAACAUAUCUCCGGACAACUUAACAAGGCAGCUGCUUCCAUCUCCAUGUCAACUUCAUUCUUUCUUACUGCAGAUCAUCUGUCAAUUCAUAGUUCAUAUCAGGACCACCAUCAACUCUUACAUGCCAUAUGCAACACAGAGGAGACAUUCCUAUUUUUCUACAUCCUUUCUAAAAAGCACUGGUAAAGAAUCCUGAUAGUCACAAUUAGAUGUUUACCCACAGAUUAUUAGUUCUGUAUAUGAAGAUGCAGUUGGCCAAUAUAGAUAUGAUCACUGAG